rnacentral:lncRNA from 1 species
AUUUGCCUGGGUGAGAGGUUAAAGAGCCCUGCUGGACACCUGGCCACUAUCCUGUUUCCAGACAGAGGCAGCCGGCAGACGCUCUUCCAAGCGAGGAAAACUUCUCCUGCGGCAGCGACGGGUACAGAUCCUGCCCCCCACCCCACCCCGCGAGCUCCCUGCCACUGAGAUUCUGAGCGCAGCUCCUCGAGUGAAUCUGUGCGAGCAGCAACGGUCCAGCGAGCCUUUCCCUGGCCUCUGCGGACCGCUGCUGCCCCUGGAGGUUCCACGCAUCCGGGGCGCAUCCGCCUUCCCUCCAGGCGAGGAAAGCAACAGGUGCGCGUCCAGCCUCUGCUUGGACACAUCCAGAGAGAGGGAGGGGCCGCCCCCCGCUUUGGAAUGAUGCGUCCCCUGAGUCGGAGAACCUACAGCCGGAUGGGUCCCUAAGAGGUCAUGGGGUCCACCCCUCGCUCCAGGCAGGAUGCGAAUCUAGGCGGUGCCUUGGCCGAGCGGGCUCUCCUCGGAUUUCCUCGGGGCCGGGGGGGGGGGAGAGAUCGCCAAAUUUCCAUCCCCCCCAGCCCUACUAGGUAGCCAGCCUUCCUCCUCCUCCCUUGCGGUCUCCGCCCAGAGUUCCUUCCUUAGGAGGGACGGCUGCUGGGCUCGGGCCGCAGCGGCGAGGAGGGAAGGGGCGCCGACGUCCCCCCCGGGGUGCGGGCGCACAAAAGCAUACAGCCCGGGCAGCCGGAGCCGAGCCGCUGCGUGGCAAACUACAUCUCCCAGGCUCCUUUUCCCGCCUCCCUCCCCUCCCUGCCGUUCCUCCCUCGCAGCACCUGGACUCGGAGAGCGGCGCCGUCCCCGCGCAGCCCCCGCCCGUCUCCUGCGCCCGGCCGAGGGGGCGAGGCAGUGGGGGGGCGGGCGGCGGCGAAGACGGCGGGUCUGCAGCUGGGGCUCCUGCUCCUCUGCGCGCCUCCCGCAGACUUGGCCCGCCAGGAUCCCGCGCAACUCCUAGGCGGCGAGGACGGAUGGAUCGCGACGAGGGCGUGCGCAGCGCCCCCUCUUCGGACCCGCUUGCAAAAGAUGACAGCAUUCUGGGAUUGAACUGGGCGAAGAAGAGCACCAUGGGUGCUUUACCAGAGGUGAAAGNAUCAACAGGAAUAACGAGGAAAGCUCUCCACAGGAGAGAUGCAGGCGGAUCUGGUCGCACCCAGUGAGUUGACNGUGUUUCCAUUUGAGAAGAAGC